rfam:Myotis lucifugus cont2.1826, whole genome shotgun sequence.
GAUGGUUCUUGGGUGACACACCCCGAAAUGGGGCUCGCUCCUCUCUGGUUCUGGGUGCAUCACCUGAUAACUGCC